AUGACCUUCAUUCGUGGAUCACAAGCGCGGCUUGCCGUAACCCUGCCCGUGCUAGCUGGCCUCUUGGCGCCGAUGGCCGCUGCACAAGGAUUAUCGUGCGCCGGUGCUUCGAGCAUCAAGUUCACCGGGGCCCUGGCGCCGUUGACGCUCGGCAGUGAUCACGUGAUCGGGAACAAGGGCCUCCGGGGACUCAUCGUGUGGAUCCACGGAGUGUUCGGCGCCAUCUUGGUACCCUCGGAGGACCCAAUGGCAGUUUUGAAAACAAAGCGAGCCGAACUACAAUCUGGAGAG
rnacentral:lncRNA from 1 species